GGUGAGAUGGCCGAGUUGGUUAUGGCGCCCAGGUUAAGGUCAACCUUAACACCAAUUUCCUGGUGGAGAAAUCCUCCUGGGUUCGAGUCCCAGUCUCAUCA